GUGAAUCAUCGAAUUUUUGAACGCAAAUUGCACUCUCUGGUAUUCCGGAGAGUAUGCCUGUUUGAGGGUCAGUAUAAAUAAUAAUCGGUGUGGUUGCUGCCUUUCGUGGUUACGUACCGGAUUUGGGUCGUUUUGUUUUAGGUUAAGUGACCUAAAAUUUUGCAUGAUUUUUUCGAACGUAUUUCAAUGACUUUACG
rnacentral:misc_RNA from 1 species